rnacentral:rRNA from 1 species
AUCAGGUUGAUAGGUCUGAGGUGGAAGCGUGGUGACACGUGGAGCUGACAGAUACUAAUAGAUCGAGGACUUAACCUA